rnacentral:lncRNA from 1 species
GGCAUUUUUCAAAAAAAGAGUCCUCUCUAGUUAUCCAUAGAGCGAAGAAAAAAUAUUUCCUUCUUAUAAAAAAAUGUCUAGAGCACCAAUUGUGAUCUUUUUAAUAUUCUUUUUGUUCUUUUUUUUGUUUCUUGAAUUUGUUGCUUGGACGCAUCUUUUUGCUAUUAAUUAAUAUAUAUUAACGGGGCUAACCUGCCUAUUUUCUUAAAAAUGAAGUGCACUAAAAAGCUCUUUGAGAUGAUCAAAACGAUAUAUUAUACUUGUCUAAUAAAUCGGAUGGUUUCUAUUAGCUGAUGACGUGGAUCACUCUAAGAUUAGAUAGUCUUUGCAGUGGAGUUUUGCUAGGCUGCUCUUAGGGCAUGUACAACUCACAUAUAGGAGUCCUUCUCUAAAUGUCUCGAAUUUAUCAUAUAAAGACCGAUCAUACAACCCAUAGACAUAGUUGUGCCUCUAAACUGCUUAAUGCUCUACAUAUUGUUAGAAUCACUCAUAAAUAAAUAUUUGUAUACCAUCAUGUGGCUGUUUAAUAGAAAAUAUAUCAAGGAUAAAUAAGAACAACGUGAUUACAAUAUUUUUUACAUUAUAUAUAGUUACGACCACAAUGACUAUACAUAUGCAUUACUGAAUAACCUGUCGAUAAGAACAGCUCUACAUGUGCAUCUUCCAAUUUCUUGUAUCACAACCUUUUGCUAAAAACUGUUAUACAAAUGACACCUUAUUGGGUGAACAGACAUUCAGAUAACUCUCACAUAUUCAAACAAAAUGACUAGGCAUUCGGUUACCUUACUAGUCCAUACUAACAUUCAGGUUGAUAACAAUCAGGUAGCAUUCAGGUAGAUAGCAUUUAGAUUACCGGCUGGAGUUAGUAUCAAAAUUAGUUUAUUCUUUUUUUUUAUUGAAAAGCAUGUUUGGCUUCUUCCUACCCUCAUGCACACCGAUCAUAUUCUCUUCUUGAACAGAGCAGAGCACCAUAAUGCUAGGCCGGCCCUGAUUCUAUUAAACACAUUUCAUCAGGCAUCAAGUUCCAUGGUCCGAAUAGCCUAGUUCCAAUUUAUAAGAUUAAAUGAUUAUCAAGAAUGCUACCUGAACAGAGCUACACGAGCAU